CAUCACUACGCUAGAUGCAUAUCAAUAAGCGGAGGAAAAGAAACUAACAAGGAUUCCCUUAGUAACGGCGAGUGAAGCGGGAAGAGCUCAAAUUUGAAAUCUUCAAGGUUUUACCUUGACGAAUUGUAGUUUAAAGAAGUGUUUUCUGUUGGAGUUUUGGUAAAAGUUCUUUGGAAUAGGACAUCAUAGAGGGUGAGAAUCCCGUAUUUGACCAUUAUUUCCAGCUGUGUGAUACACUUUCAAAGAGUCGGAUUGUUUGGGAAUGCAGUCCAAAAUGGGUGGUAAAUUUCAUCUAAAGCUAAAUAUUGGCGAGAGACCGAUAGCGAACAAGUACCGUGAGGGAAAGAUGAAAAGAACUUUGAAAAGAGAGUUAAACAGUACGUGAAAUUGUCAAAAGGGAAGCGUUUGACACCAGUGUUGUUUAGUUGAAAAUCAAUUCAAUAGUUUUUGAUUCUAAGUAGUAUUGACUUCAUCAGCUUGCUGCUUUCUUCUCAGAAAUUAUUGAAUGCACUUUUCAGUUAACAAGUCAUCAUCAAUUUCUUUUAUUGUAAAAGGGUAAGAGGAAGGUGGCUUGCGCUUCGGCUCAAGUGUUUAUAGCCUUUUAUCUCUGCAAUCGGAGAGAUUGAGGUCUGCAGCGUAGAUCCUUCGGGGUUAGAUACGUUGGUGCUAAGCUAUAGCCUUGUAUAGACAACUUGUUGACUAUGCUCAGUCAUGUAGCUUACUCGCUGAUGCUAUUUUACCUACGCUUAGGAUGUUGAAGAUAUGCGCGACACG
rnacentral:rRNA from 1 species